UUUUGUUCACUGCGCGUGUGUUUUUUUUUGGUUUCUAUUGUGAAGUGUGUGUGAUGAUGAUUGGUUGAGGUUUAUGCUCCUGUGCAAAAUGCAAAUGCAAAAACAUAUGCAUAUAAUCUAAACAAAUGAAUAACAAAUUUUCCAUCAAACUAUUAAUGUGUUUAAUAUGAAGUAAUUACACCUUGAAGUGUGCGAUAAAAGCAAUUAAUUAGUGAAAUUAGGCGCGCAUUUAAAGCGGGCAUUCAAUGUAAAUGGCAAAAAUGCCAUAAAAAUGGCUUGUUAAAUCAUGUUUGACAGAAAUCAACGGGAAUAAACGUCAACUCAAAUGGCACAAUCGAAUUUAAUAUUCAAUUGCGUUUUUAUCAUAAUAUCUGCUGAUUCCGUUGACUGCACAUUUGAUCGGUUUUGAGCCUUUAUUUAGAUGCAAAUAUUUUGCAUUUAUUUAUUAUUUUAUUGUCAAAUGCCACCACACCCCCCUCAUCACUGAUGCUUUUGUUGUGCCAUAAUUUCGUUUUCUGCGAAUAACUAGAAAAGUUCAACGGCGGGUGUCAAACAAAAUUUUCAUUUGAAUUUUUUGCUGCGCUCUUUAGUUUUUUGUACAUUUUGUUUGGCUUCACGCUGCUUUCAUACUUAGCACACAAAAAUGUGCGCUCUUGGCUUCUUUUUAAGUUCGUUUGUUUUAUUUUAUUUAUUUAUAAGUUCGCACUAAAAUCGUGCAAAACAUUUAUGUUGGCGUUAUUUCCUUGUUUCAACCAUUCGGCUUCAAUUGUUGACAAUUGUGAUGGAAGUGGACUGCAGGAAUAUGGAAAAUUUUAAAAUGACAUGCCGCCGAAAUACGUGAACGCUUCGAAAACAAUAAUAAUUAAUACUCAAUGACCAAUAAAACAAUAGCAAUGUGUAAUUGAUGGACUUGCUGCCAAAAUAUAAUUAGCAGCUAAUAUAGAAACAGAACAUCAAGGCAAAACUCGAUUAUUCCAGUGGGCGUGGCCAGUGGGCGUGUGUGUGUUUUGGCCGCUGACAAAAGUGCAAUUGGAAUCGGAUUCGAGCGAAGAUACGGACAAUCGGGGCAACGCCAGCGAUACGGGCCAAACUCAAGUGGCCAGGAUAGGCGGCGAAAAGGAGGCGGAGGCGGCUGGGGAGGCGUGGUGGCUUGGUCAUGACAAUGUCCUCGACGUCGACUGCGACGUCGACAGCGACUGCGACGCUGGCCGAGGCGAACGCCACUGUUGGCGAAAUGUUUUCGGAUGCGGAUAUGGCGGAAGUGCGGCAUGUUGUCCAACGCAUUUUGGUGCCGUGCGUUUUUGUUAUUGGACUAUUGGGAAAUUCAGUGAGCAUUUAUGUUUUGACGCGAAAGCGCAUGAGAUGCACGACGAACAUAUAUCUAACGGCACUGGCCAUCACGGAUAUCGCCUACCUGACGUGCCAGUUGAUCCUGUCGCUCCAGCACUACGACUAUCCCAAAUAUCACUUCAAGCUCUACUGGCAGCUCUAUGGCUAUUUCGUCUGGCUGUGCGAUAGUUUCGGUUACAUCUCAAUUUACAUAGCCGUGUGCUUCACCAUCGAGAGAUUCAUUGCGAUACGCUAUCCGCUCAAGAGACAAACAUUCUGCACGGAAUCGCUGGCCAAAAAGGUGAUAGCAGCGGUGGCCAUCUUCUGUUUGCUGUCCACACUCUCGACGGCAUUCGAGCACACAAUUACGAUUGGUACGCGCCAGAUUGAUGACGCCUACCAGCCGUGCAACCAAACGUUGGCCAACAUCUCGCCCACGCCGCCGCCGCCACCCGUGGCAGCCACGCCCCCACUGGCCACGCCCCCGCUGCCCACGCCGGCGACCGCUUGGCAAUCGCCGGACUUCGCCAUGGAGUCCACGACGGCCGGCAGCUCUAAUCUGCUCGUCGACUGGGGCAGUGGCAGUGGUGAUGGAGAGCCAGAGAACAUUCCACGACAUCGCCGUCACUGGCAGUCAUCUGGAUUUGUGACGCUGCCCACACUGAGAAAAACGCUGGAGGAGCAGGAUCCGGAGGGGGCAGACGCGGGCCAGGGGUCAGGGGUCACGCAGAGCUUGCUGCAAUUGUGGCGUCGCAAGCGCAGCGCUGAGAUUCACAACAUCAACAAUACGGAUGCAUUCGCAUUUAACGUAACGGAAUACUGUCAAAAUGUGACUUAUUAUAACCAUGGUCUUUCGGAACUGGGCUAUGAUGAGCUAUACAGCUAUCUGUGGAACCUGUUCACCCUGCUGGUCUUCGUGGUGUUCCCCCUGCUUCUACUGGCCACCUUCAACUCCAUUCUCAUUCUGCUGGUGCAUCGGUCCAAGAAUCUGCGUGGUGACCUGACCAACGCCAGCAGCAUAAGGCGCACAAAACGCAAAUCGAAUUCUGGACUAAAAGGCAGCGUAUCGCAGGAAAAUCGCGUGACGAUCACACUCAUUGCCGUGGUGCUAAUGUUCAUAGUUUGCCAACUGCCCUGGGCGAUCUAUUUGAUAGUCAAUCAGUAUAUGGAAAUUCAAGUUGGCACUCAGGUGGUGGCGGGAAAUGUGUGUAACCUGCUGGCCUCCCUACACGCCGCCUCCAAUUUCUUUCUGUACUGUGUGCUUUCCGAUAAGUACCGAAAGACGGUGCGAGAACUGAUAACCGGAUAUCGGUAUAGACGUCGACACGCGCGGAACAAUACGAGUCUCUAUGUGCCGCAUACGACGACUACACUGACCCAAAUAAAUGGCGAUCAUUAUGGCAGUAAUUAUGGCGGAAACGGAAGUCGUCGAAAUCGCAAUACGGGUCGCCUGAUAGCGUGAACCGUAAAUCGUGGAUGUAUAAUAAAAUAUUAGUGGGUUAAACUCCAUGAGGAGAAGGAGAGUGAUAGCUGAUAUCACGAAACUUCUCCACGCGAGAAGAGGGCUUUAAAUUUGCCAGCAAAUCACGCGGAAUCACAACUUCCCCUUCAGCAAACCGAGCGACUCGGGCUAAUUGAACCAGUUCCGCAGUGGCUGCAUCUAUGCAAAUAACCCCAGUUGCCCUC